UACAGAGGUCUCAAGCGUUGUUCGGAUUCAUUGGGCGUAAAGGGUGCGUAGGCGGCGCGGUAAGUCGGGUGUGAAAUCUCGGAGCUUAACUCCGAAACUGCAUUCGAUACUGCCGUGCUUGAGGACUGGAGAGGAGACUGGAAUUUACGGUGUAGCGGUGAAAUGCGUAGAUAUCGUAAGGAAGACCAGUGGCGAAGGCGGGUCUCUGGACAGUUCCUGACGCUGAGGCACGAAGGUCAGGGGAGCGAACUGG
rnacentral:rRNA from 1 species